AUUUUUGGGCACUAUUGAUAUGCUCAAUUCAUGUAUGAAGCCAAAAACACUAUCUAGAUUUGAAAGUCAGAUCAGGUAGAGAAGAUACAGCAACCUGAAUAAGACCAGUCUGGAGGUCUGACCUUAGUUUGGUGGUUGUAGCUUGAAAACUCUAGGAGGAGAUACAGUCCAAAUUUAAUCUAAGAAGAAGAAGCCAACAUAAUGACUUAGUGCACAUAAAACCUUCUCGUGUAUAUGGAAGGCCAAGAAGAAGUGGCUACCAUAUUUCUUCAUGAGAGCAAACACUUCCAGCUGAAUCCAGUUCUGGAAUGAGCUGUCAAGGGAAAUGAGGAUGAAUAGUUUGAGCUCAGUGUGGGACACAAAUCCUUCAACCCUCAACCUGCUUGCUAACUCUAAAGCUAGCAGUAACACAGAGCCGUCACGUUGCACUUGUGAAAUGGGG
ensembl:lncRNA